rnacentral:ncRNA from 1 species
CAGAGUAGGUUUUGGCGCGUCAAGUGUCACGCGGACGGGGAGUUGCCGCGUGGACGAAAGCCUUUUGCGUUGCAAAAGACUGCGGUGCCAGGACCGCAUCCCGCUGU